GUGGAUAAGGUGGUGAAAAAGGCUUUAGGCACACUGGUCUUCAUCAAUUAGAGAAUCGAGUAUAGAAGUUG